rnacentral:rRNA from 1 species
UAAGGCGUGACAAAGACAUCCAAAGUCGUACGCUGUGUGUACAGUUCAACUGAUUUGAAGAGCUUGCUCAGAUAUGACGAUGGACAUUGCAAAGAGUGGCGAACGGGUGAGUAACACGUGGGAAACCUACCUCUUAGCAGGGGAUAACAUUUGGAAACAGAUGCUAAUACCGUAUAACAAUAGCAACCGCAUGGUUGCUACUUAAAAGAUGGUUCUGCUAUCACUAAGAGAUGGUCCCGCGGUGCAUUAGUUAGUUGGUGAGGUAAUGGCUCACCAAGACGAUGAUGCAUAGCCGAGUUGAGAGACUGAUCGGCCACAAUGGGACUGAGACACGGCCCAUACUCCUACGGGAGGCAGCAGUAGGGAAUCUUCCACAAUGGGCGAAAGCCUGAUGGAGCAACGCCGCGUGUGUGAUGAAGGGUUUCGGCUCGUAAAACACUGUUGUAAGAGAAGAAUGACAUUGAGAGUAACUGUUCAAUGUGUGACGGUAUCUUACCAGAAAGGAACGGCUAAAUACGUGCCAGCAGCCGCGGUAAUACGUAUGUUCCAAGCGUUAUCCGGAUUUAUUGGGCGUAAAGCGAGCGCAGACGGUUAUUUAAGUCUGAAGUGAAAGCCCUCAGCUCAACUGAGGAAUUGCUUUGGAAACUGGAUGACUUGAGUGCAGUAGAGGAAAGUGGAACUCCAUGUGUAGCGGUGAAAUGCGUAGAUAUAUGGAAGAACACCAGUGGCGAAGGCGGCUUUCUGGACUGUAACUGACGUUGAGGCUCGAAAGUGUGGGUAGCAAACAGGAUUAGAUACCCUGGUAGUCCACACCGUAAACGAUGAGUGCUAGGUGUUUGAGGGUUUCCGCCCUUAAGUGCCGCAGCUAACGCAUUAAGCACUCCGCCUGGGGAGUACGACCGCAAGGUUGAACUCAAAGGAUUGACGGGGACCCGCACAGCGGUGGAGCAUGUGUUUAUUCGAAGCACGCGAGACCUUACCAGGUCUUGACAUCCCUUGACACUCAGAGAUG